rnacentral:rRNA from 1 species
UCUUACAACAUAGAGUUAAUGCAUCAGAUCUGAUUAGAACUACGAAGUUAAGUGUUCUCAAGCUAGAGUAGUUCUGGGAUGGGUGAUCGCCUGAGAAGUUUUAGUGUUUUAGAU